rnacentral:lncRNA from 1 species
UCCGGGACUGAUAGGUAUCGGUUACUCUCGCCAGGCGGAUUCAUUAUAUAUGUAUAGCGCGGAUAAGUGUCACGCACUCCCUCACACCGGGUUGUCAAGUUUGCCUGGUGGAUUCCUUCACCCGCCAACUGCGGAUACACUUCCCGAGCAUGCGCGUGCGCAUGCGCGUUACCGGCGGUGCACCUCCGGCAACGAAUCUCGUGCGACGCCAUCAUGACUGUGUUGACGGUGCGGUGGUUUGGCUGUGGUACUGCUGUGGACUUCUGGCUGCUGAAUUUCGCGGAUAGAGGCGUACAAAUCGAAAUGGGAGGUUUCAACCACUGAAAGCCAAGUGCGAGAGACGGUGACAGACACAAAACGACCGGUGGAGGAGUGGUGUGGCGCAAGGCACCGGGGCCUUAUGACCUUAGCUCAUAUUUAACUCGUAUAAUUCAUGUGUGUGGAUAUUGUUGUACGUCUAACUAAAUACAUAAAUAAGACC